CAGCCGCCACGGGAAUACGGAGGGUGCAAGCGUUAUCCGGAUUCACUGGGUUUAAAGGGUGCGUAGGCGGGCAGGUAAGUCAGUGGUGAAAUCUUCGAGCUUAACUCGGAAACUGCCGUUGAUACUAUCUGUCUUGAAUAACGUUGAGGUGAGCGGAAUAUGUCAUGUAGCGGUGAAAUGCUUAGAUAUGACAUAGAACACCGAUUGCGAAGGCAGCCCACUAAACGCUCAUUGACGCUGAGGCACGAAAGCGUGGGGAUCAAACAGGAUUAGAUACCCCGGUAGUCCCUGUCUCUUAUAC
rnacentral:rRNA from 1 species